rnacentral:rRNA from 1 species
UUGCACGCUGGCGGCAUGCUUUACACAUGCCAGUCGAACGGCAGCGCGGGCUUCGGCCUGGCGGCGAGUGGCGAACGGGUGAGUAAUGCAUCGGAACGUGCCCAGUAGUGGGGGAUAGCCCGGCGAAAGCCGGAUUAAUACCGCAUACGACCUGAGGGUGAAAGCGGGGGACCGAAAGGCCUCGCGCUAUUGGAGCGGCCGAUGUCGGAUUAGCUAGUUGGUGGGGUAAAGGCUUACCAAGGCGACGAUCCGUAGCUGGUCUGAGAGGACGACCAGCCACACUGGGACUGAGACACGGCCCAGACUCCUACGGGAGGCAGCAGUGGGGAAUUUUGGACAAUGGGGGCAACCCUGAUCCAGCCAUGCCGCGUGCGAGAAGAAGGCCUUCGGGUUGUAAACCGCUUUUGUUCGGGAAGAAAUCCUCUGGGCUAAUACCCCGGGGGGAUGACGGUACCGGAAGAAUAAGCACCGGCUAACUACGUG